UUAAAGAAAAUUCUGAAUACUGUUUAUUUCGGAAUAAAAAGAAUUCUGAAAAAUGUAUUUAAAAAUCAAAAGCUGUUAAUAGGAGAAUCACGUAUUUAAUUUUUGUGCAUUAGGUCUAAAAUGACCUUUAUAUGAAUGAAAGGAAGUGAGAAGGAAUGAAUGAAAGAAACUGAUGAAUUGCAGGAGAAAGGAGAAAAGAAGCAUCUUGCAGGGGAUGCGUAAUAAAGAACACAUGAAAAGAAGCUGAUGAAAGUAGCGAGACAGAAACUAAACUGUGCAAUGAUACACUCUGGAAGCACUCUUUUACCUGAUCUCAGUCCACUUAUCUCUCUCUCUCUCUCUCUCUCUCUCUCUCUCUCUCUCUCUCUCACACACACACACACACACACACACAAGAUGCUGUGAGAUAUAUGAGGUGCUUAUUUUAAUCACGAAUGCUCCGUUUUCCAAGCUGCAAUGUCACAGUUUUCAUCAAGCCUCGGUUUAUGUUUUUUAUUAAGAAGCCGAGAGCUCCAGUUUUUUUUUCUCUCUGUUUGUCGAAGUGCCAGCCGGAGUGACAUCAUGCAGCCAUUGUUUUUUUGGAGCGCUCUGGAAUUUCCAUUUGUGCCUCUUGGCUUUAUAAUGUGCUCCUAGACAAUGCGGCAUUAACUCCAUGCUGAGUGUGAGAUCCAGCCUGGUGGACUGAGGUUCACGCUUCCUGAUGUAAUAGGAGUGACUGUGGCCUUUGCACACAGCUGUCCCAGAGCAGUGAAGAGUGAGGACUCAGAGGAGCGCUGAAUUCCUGUCAGAGGUGGGAGCAGUCAAAACCUCAGUGCCCAGCUUCUCUCCACUGUGUCCCCUGGAGCCCAUAUGCAAAUGAUAGCUUGGUAGCAGAUGUGCCUCUCUUGUUUACUGUGAUAUAGAGAGCGCCUUCGCUCCAUCAGCUCGAGAUCAUUGCCGAUGGAGUGCGUGUGCAGUCCAGACCGCAAGCCUGCAGAAUCGGGAAGACGAAAGAAGUGCCAAGCUCUUCCCUUCUCCGAUCAGGUUUCCUCCUGUCAGAAGGUUGGU
ensembl:lncRNA